rnacentral:misc_RNA from 1 species
GUUCUGGGCAUAUUUGGCAUGUGGAUCUCUAGUGAUUUAUAUUCUUCUACUUUGGUAACAUGUUUAUUCUACGAUUUACGGCGGUAGAGUGGCACCAAAAUGAAGUUGCCAGUGAAAAGCUCGGGAAAAAUUAUUAUGGUUGAACAGUGUUGCCAAUAGAAACUUCCACCCUUUCUUUAAUAUGAAUCUAACAAAACAAGCACGAUAAACUCAUAUUUAAACAAGAUGCAAGUUUUGGUGAGAAUUGGAAAUAGAAAAG